CCGAUGCGACAGCCCGCGGUCACAGGCACCACUGCCCACUCCGAAGCCCAGCCCACCGGAAAUGACGGCGCAGGCAGUGCUGACGUUAGAGGGUCUCGGUCACUCCCAGUCACGCGAGUCACGCUGGGGGUGGGUCAGGGUGCCCAGUUGCACCUCUGGGCCCACGGGCUUCCCAUCCACCCCCGACACUGUGCAUCUUGGGUUGAAGUCAAGGGACCAGGCGGCACCAGGUCACCUUCUUCCAGGAGUGCCCCCACCCCUGGAGGCCGGACGGCCGCCCUCCCUGCCCUCAGACUUUCCAGCGCUGGGCACCCGCUGCACUGAACGCUCAGGCCCCAUCUGGCCCGCCCUCCAGUCUGAGGUCAGCGCCUGGCAGGGCACCCUCUCUUGUGUACCCUUUGGGACGCUCACGCUCAGAGCCCAGGGCCUUGCUGUGAGAGGCCCAGGCCACUCAGGAGACCCACGCUGAUGAUGCCAGACUCAGCCCCAGCUGAGCCCAGGCUUUGAGUCCUCCCAAGAUGCCAGACGCCAGAUACGGGAGUGAAGAAGCCCCCGGAUGGUUCCAGCACCCAGCUGUGCCGAGUUAACCCCUCCCCUAGCCAUUCCGGUCUUCCCAGCUGAGACCCUGGACGUUGUGGAGCAGACGCCAGCCACCUCAGCUGGGCCCUGCCUGAAUUACUGGCUAAUGCAUUUACAAUAAAUGUUUAUUGUUUUA